rnacentral:lncRNA from 13 species
UCUUUCUGAGCUGGAUGAUUUAGUGAAGCAGCUGUGGGGGAUACAGGAGGGGGGAUUUAAAAGAAGGACCCAGUGGACUGAGGAGGACUAUUCACCCCCUAUUUGUGAUGCUGGAUGAAAUUAGAGCCUACUCUUCCCUCCUAGUCCUCUGAAAGU